rnacentral:rRNA from 1 species
CGAACGCUGGCGGCAGGCCUAACACAUGCAAGUCGAGCGCACCUUCGGGUGAGCGGCGGACGGGUUAGUAACACGUGGGAACGUACCCUUUUCUACGGAAUAGCCUCGGGAAACUGAGAGUAAUACCGUAUACGCCCUUUGGGGGAAAGAUUUAUCGGAGAAGGAUCGGCCCGCGUCUGAUUAGGUAGUUGGUGGGGUAAUGGCCUACCAAGCCUACGAUCAGUAGCUGGUUUGAGAGGAUGAUCAGCAACACUGGGACUGAGACACGGCCCAGACUCCUACGGGAGGCAGCAGUGGGGAAUCUUAGACAAUGGGCGCAAGCCUGAUCUAGCCAUGCCGCGUGAGUGACGAAGGCCUUAGGGUCGUAAACUCUUUCGCUA